AGUGAACGCUGGCGGUAGGCCUAACACAUGCAAGUCGAACGGCAGCACAGGAGAGCUUGCUCUCUGGGUGGCGAGUGGCGGACGGGUGAGGAAUACAUCGGAAUCUACUCUGUCGUGGGGGAUAACGUAGGGAAACUUACGCUAAUACCGCAUACGACCUACGGGUGAAAGCAGGGGACCUUCGGGCCUUGCGCGAUUGAAUGAGCCGAUGUCGGAUUAGCUAGUUGGCGGGGUAAAGGCCCACCAAGGCGACGAUCCGUAGCUGGUCUGGGAGGGUGAGCAGCCACACUGGAACUGAGACACGGUCCAGACUCCUACGGGAGGCAGCAGUGGGGAAUAGUGGACAAUGGGCGCAAGCCUGAUCCAGCCAUACCGCGUGGGCGAAGAAGGCCUUCGGGUUGUAAAGCCCUUUUGUUGGGAAAGAAAUCCAGCUGGCUAAUACCCGGUUGGGAUGACGGUACCCAAAGAAUAAGCACCGGCUAACUUCGUGCCAGCCGCCGCCGUAA
rnacentral:rRNA from 1 species